rnacentral:rRNA from 1 species
GACGAACGCUGGCGGCGUGCUUAACACAUGCAAGUCGAACGGUAAGGCCCUUCGGGGUACACGAGUGGCGAACGGGUGAGUAACACGUGGGUGAUCUGCCCUGCACUUCGGGAUAAGCCUGGGAAACUGGGUCUAAUACCGGAUAGGACCACUGCCUGCAUGGGUGGUGGUGGAAAGCUUUUGCGGUGUGGGAUGGGCCCGCGGCCUAUCAGCUUGUUGGUGGGGUGAUGGCCUACCAAGGCGACGACGGGUAGCCGGGCUGAGAGGGUGACCGGCCACACGGGGACUGAGAUACGGCCCAGAGUCCUACGGGAGGCAGCAGUGGGGAAGAUUGCACAAUGGGCGCAAGCCUGAUGCAGCGACGCCGCGUGAGGGAUGACGGCCUUCGGGUUGUAAACCUCUUUCAGCACCGACGAAGCGCAAGUGACGGUAGGUGCAGAAGAAGGACCGGCCAACUACGUGCCAGCCGCCGCCGUAA